rnacentral:rRNA from 1 species
UUAAGUUAAUAAGGGCGCACGGUGGAUGCCUUGGCACUAGGAGCCGACGAAGGACGUGACAAACGACGAUAUGCCUUGGGUAGCUGUAAGUAAGCGAUGAUCCAGGGAUUUCCGAAUGGGGGAACCCAACAGGUAAUACCUGUUACCCACAUCUGUUAAGGAUGUGAGGAGGAAGACGCAGUGAACUGAAACAUCUAAGUAGCUGCAGGAAGAGAAAGCAAAAGCGAUUGCCUUAGUAGCGGCGAGCGAAACGGCAGAAGGGCAAACCGAAGAGUUUACUCUUCGGGGUUGUAGGACUGCAAUGUGGACUCAAAGAUUAUAGAAGAAUGAUUUGGGAAGAUCAGCCAAAGAGAGUAAUAGCCUCGUAUUUAAAAUAGUCUUUGUACCUAGCAGUAUCCUGAGUACGGCGGGACACGUGAAAUCCCGUCGGAAUCUGGGAGGACCAUCUCCCAACCCUAAAUACUCCCUAGUGACCGAUAGUGAACCAGUACCGUGAGGGAAAGGUGAAAAGCACCCCGGGAGGGGAGUGAAAUAGAACCUGAAACCGUGUGCCUACAACAAGUUCGAGCCCGUUAAUGGGUGAGAGCGUGCCUUUUGUAGAAUGAACCGGCGAGUUACGUUAUGAUGCGAGGUUAAGUUGAAGAGACGGAGCCGUAGGGAAACCGAGUCUGAAUAGGGCGCCUUAGUAUCAUGACGUAGACCCGAAACCAUGUGACCUACCCAUGAGCAGGUUGAAGGUGCGGUAAGACGCACUGGAGGACCGAACCAGGGCACGUUGAAAAGUGCUUGGAUGACUUGUGGGUAGCGGAGAAAUUCCAAACGAACUUGGAGAUAGCUGGUUCUCUCCGAAAUAGCUUUAGGGCUAGCGUCGACAUUAGAGAUUCUUGGAGGUAGAGCACUGUUUGGGUGAGGGGUCCAUCCCGGAUUACCAAUCUCAGAUAAACUCCGAAUGCCAAUGAAUUAUGGUCGGCAGUCAGACUGCGAGUGCUAAGAUCCGUAGUCGAAAGGGAAACAGCCCAGACCACCAGCUAAGGUCCCAAAAUAAUUGUUAAGUGGAAAAGGAUGUGGGGUUGCACAGACAACUAGGAUGUUAGCUUAGAAGCAGCUAUUCAUUCAAAGAGUGCGUAAUAGCUCACUAGUCGAGUGACCCUGCGCCGAAAAUGUACCGGGGCUAAAACAAUUUACCGAAGCUGUGGAUACCUUUAUAGGUAUGGUAGGAGAGCGUUCUAUGUGUGAUGAAGGUAUACCGUGAGGAGUGCUGGAACGCAUAGAAGUGAGAAUGCCGGUAUGAGUAGCGAAAGACAGGUGAGAAUCCUGUCCACCGUAAGACUAAGGUUUCCAGGGGAAGGCUCGUCCGCCCUGGGUUAGUCGGGACCUAAGGAGAGACCGAAAGGUGUAUCCGAUGGACAACAGGUUGAUAUUCCUGUACUAGAGUAUGUAGUGAUGGAGGGACGCAGUAGGCUAACUAAAGCAGACGAUUGGAAGAGUCUGUCUAAGCAGUGAGGUGUGAAUUGAGUCAAAUGCUUAAUUCUAUAACAUUGAGCUGUGAUGGGGAGCGAAGUUUAGUAGCGAAGUUAGUGACGUCACACUGCCAAGAAAAGCUUCUAGCGUUUAAACAUACUCUACCCGUACCGCAAACCGACACAGGUAGUCGAGGCGAGUAGCCUCAGGUGAGCGAGAGAACUCUCGUUAAGGAACUCGGCAAAAUGACCCCGUAACUUCGGGAGAAGGGGUGCUGACUUAAAGUCAGCCGCAGUGAAUAGGCCCAAGCAACUGUUUAUCAAAAACACAGCUCUCUGCUAAAUCGUAAGAUGAUGUAUAGGGGGUGACGCCUGCCCGGUGCUGGAAGGUUAAGAGGAGUGCUUAGCGUAAGCGAAGGUAUGAAUUGAAGCCCCAGUAAACGGCGGCCGUAACUAUAACGGUCCUAAGGUAGCGAAAUUCCUUGUCGGGUAAGUUCCGACCCGCACGAAAGGCGUAAUGAUUUGGGCACUGUCUCAACGAGAGACUCGGUGAAAUUUUAGUACCUGUGAAGAUGCAGGUUACCCGCGACAGGACGGAAAGACCCCAUGGAGCUUUACUGCAGUUUGAUAUUGAGUGUCUGUACCACAUGUACAGGAUAGGUAGGAGUCUAAGAGAUCGGGACGCCAGUUUCGAAGGAGACGCUGUUGGGAUACUACCCUUGUGUUAUGGCCACUCUAACCCAGAUAGGUGAUCCCUAUCGGAGACAGUGUCUGACGGGCAGUUUGACUGGGGCGGUCGCCUCCUAAAAGGUAACGGAGGCGCCCAAAGGUUCCCUCAGAAUGGUUGGAAAUCAUUCGCAGAG